GGUGGGGGGGGCGAGGUGGGAGUCUGGGAGAAGGAGGAGCAGCUUCUGACUGGCCCAUUCUCACACCAAGCUGAGCAUUGGAAGGAGGAAGCAACCAUAGCAGGGAGCCCACUGCGGCAGAACGAAUUGGCAUCGUGCCACCAGGAGCAUGUGUGGGAUACGCUGACAGCGUCAUUCAGUGACGCCUUCCAGACAUCCUCCUGGGGUGCAGCAUGGAGCUGGCGUUGUGAAGAACAGCCACUGGCUGUGUCAGAGGGUAUCGGAGGAUUGCACUGCACCUCGUUGCUCCUGCACAAACACUAGGGGUCGUGCAAAGACGCAAGCCGUGUACAACUGGUAACUCUCAACUGAGUGAGA